rnacentral:lncRNA from 1 species
GAACUCCUCUACACUGUAGGUGUCAAGCAGGAGUGGGCAGCCCUCAACAUGCUCAACUAUAGCCCGAACCAGACUCAUGUAAUCGAUAAUAUUUAACAAAAUAAAUAAAAACACAGUAGAACGCCUUCAUAUUCAUAUGUGGUUAUCUAAGUUAGAGUGCACCCGCAGGGAUGCUUACCGACGGUUUAGAGCCCUCCAUUCCAUUUGAUAUCGGCACCAUUGCCCUGAAGAUCUGCUCAGGAAAACUGCCAUGUAUGUGCAUGUGUGUGUGCGUGUGUGUGUUUGUGUGCGAUAAGUGCACACACACUGGGGGGCACCCGCACUGCACCUGCUGGACACGUGGGUGGCCUUCUGGCUCCACCCCUUCUGAGAGAUCACACAGUGUGGGCAGAUCUAGCAUGGAAUGCGCCACUGGGCAUGUGCAACCGCGUAAAUUUCUCUCCAGCCGUUCUCAUGGAAACAGCAAGACGCGAGGCAGAGGCUUGGCCCCGCCCCUCUUCAACGUCACAUCCGCUUCCGCUCCUCCCCUUCUGGGGCGCUGCUGUCUGCCUCCUAGGCCCUUUAGGUCCGCGGCCUUCUCGGCUCCGCUCCUUCAGCCGCUGCCGAGCUCUGAGCCCUGUGUCCGUUGUGGUCCGGGAUCCACCCGCCCCGAAGCCGGACCUGGAGCAGCAGCAGGAGAUGGUGGGCCCCGUGCACCCGGGAGCCCGGGCCCCCCAGGAGUUAGUGACAUUAAGGGCAAUAAAAUUGGGUGUGGCCCCCAAGCAGUUUCAUAGAACCCCAGAAUUGAGGGCAGGAAGGGCUGUGGCAGUCAUUCAGUCCAAGUCAUCCAUGAAAGGAAUCAUCUCUAUGGCCUGCCCAAUAAAUUGUCACCCAGGCUCUGCUUGGAAAAGAGA